UAUACAUAGUUAUAUUUAUAUAUAUAUUGGGUAUGUUUUAAGAAUUUUUUCGCAUGAGCGCAGCUGUUGUGAUCAAAUGUCUGGGAGGUAGAAGCACUGAAUGAAGAUAAAGGCAUUGUUCAGCACGCACCCACAUGCUCCGUACGUCCUCAUACGGGUUUAUUUCACUCUUAGGCCAGCUUUGGCCUCUGAACUGCCAAGCGAAGUAGUUUUGAAGCUUAUUUAUUUUCUUUUCCUCUUAGUGUUUGGCAGAGAGUCAUCUUUGUGCUAGAGUUAGCUUCAUCUGCACCCCGCCCCCAUCCAUCUAUAUCUCCUACUUGAGACCUAGCAUUACAGCUGCUCUCCUUCGAGCUGAGAAGAACGAGGCCGAUGCAGUUUAUAGAGCCUGUCAGGUCUGUUCCUCCCUUCUCCGCGUAGGGCAUGAUGAUUUUUAGCAUGUUCCCCUGGCAGCACGCUCACAAGUGAACUGACCCGGGACCCCGUGCUGUGUUCUCUCUUCCUUAAGUGCAGAGCACCACCAUCAGGUCAGCCUUCUCUUCGUGGUUUUUAGUUAGUUUACUUCUUCCUGCUGUGUCUGUCUUAACACAGGAAGCUCAUUUUAGUUGAGAUAGUGCAAUAUCCUAAUUGAGGAGGACAAGCCCAGAAUGUAGGUGUGCUUACCUUUCUUCAGGUAAUCUUUAGUAAACUAAGUUUUCAGAAACGGUUAUGGUAGGUCUGGAACUAUAGAUUUAUUUUCAACACUAGGAAGAAAAUCUGGAGGGGCAAAAAAUUGUGCCUGUUAGCACUUGUGCCAGCUAAUUUCCUUUCCAGACCUGAAAGUAUUCCCCCCCGCUGCCAGCUUUCGCCUCUGGGAGGAUCUCUAUGUGAAGAGCUAUUCAGGUUUCCCUUGCUGGCCUGCGGAUGGUGAAUGCUUCCAGAAGCUGUGGAUUAAAAAAGAGACCUUACCAAUAUAGAUUUCUUUUCCUCUCCUUUGUCUAGCUUUCUCUGUGCUGUACUUUGUGCAUAGUGUCCUUGUUGUGAUCGCUGUGUCCAGGUGAAUGUCCUGUUUGCGCAGUAUUAUAGUUUGGCUUGUUAAAUAGUUUUUGUUUAAUAUCUACAAAGUAUAUUGAUUUUUGGCUUUGGUUCCCCCCCGCCCCUUUUGCCCUUUCCUUACAUCUUUAGACAAGUUUAAUGGAUUAAACAAGUCGAAUAACAAACGACGACACAUGCUUUUAAGUCUGUAUGGAAGCUGCACCCAAAUUGUUCACUUUUUGCGAAAAACCAUGCUAGCAGAAGUCGGAGAACAGGUAGCUCCACAAAUAGUGGAACAUCGAUGGUUAUAGCAGAUUACCAGAGAAUUAAACUUUUUGGAGCAACUCUGUAUACUGCUACAUUAAUUUCUAUAUCCUGUCAUUGCCCCAGUUGUACAGGAAUAGCGUCCGCUUCUGUGAAACUGGUCUCGGCUGAAAGCCGGCUUGGUCCCUUCCGCUCAAGCGAGCAGAAACAGUACUGCAGUGGUGUUAGGACGCUACUGCAUCAUUCGGUAGGUAGGCUCGGUUUCUCGAUGAGGUGGACAACUUUGAACGCUUACUGAUAGCAGGGUUUCAGCCCCAGCAACGGACAAAACCCUAACAAUGGGAAGCUUCAAGCAGUAGGCUAGGCUUUAGAAAGUCGAGCGGCAUUUCGGUCAGUGUAGAAACGAUGUUUAGUUCUGUUGUCGUUUUCCUCCUCCUUCUGUAAGCAUCUCCCGGCUUCCUUCCCUGUGACCCAAUUGUCUUCUCUUGAUAGAAAAAAAUCUACGUUUUUCCUUCCACCCCUUGUGUGUACUAUCGUAUCCUGUCCCGUUGUAGAGUAGGACUUUGUUUUUAGCUCUGAGCACCUUUCAGACUUGCAGCACUGUCAUCUAUCCCCUUUCUUCUCAGUUUCUUUGCUGUCUGGUUUCUUCGGAGCCGUAUUCUCUCCCUUUUGUCCAUACCUUCCUUUCUCUCCUUCUGUGGCUUGCCCCUUCACCCUCCCUGAUUGUGUAACAGUGACAGCUUGCUGCCUCAAAACAGAGCAUUCAAAUGAAUUCGCUUAGCCAAUAACUUCUGUGAAGUUGCCUUUUCUAAUGGUGUUAUUACUCAGUGAUGCACAAAUGUGAUAUUGCCCCUACUGGUAGGCAAACGGGGGAUCUGUAUAAACAUGGUAAACUGCUGUUUUUCUUUAAAGGAGAGCCAAAGACUUGUGCUUUACACUUUUUUUUUUUUUUUCCCCCCCCCCGGUGUAGUUGUUUCGAUUGUCAAAUCUUUGUAGGGUUUUGUGAGUUGACUGUAUUAUCCUAAUAGAAACUUACAGAAGUUAAUGAUUGUCAAGCCUUAUCCAUGCAUUGAAUGGUGGAAAAUCAUUCCGUUUAGUCAUAAAAUUUGCAACGUGUUGAGAUGUACCUGGAGUAUGCUAACAUGUUUUCAUUCUCUUGUGCGCUCUCCCAGCUGGUGAAGUGGCUCAUUUUAGAGAGGGAGAAGGAACUUAGAAAUUUCUAUAAUCAAAGAAGCCUUGUGUGUAAGUGUUUAAAUCUAAAUUGACUUGAAUACUGAUUUAAAAUUUCUUCAAUUAUAGUAAAAGAUAAAUCUGUGUUGCGAAUGUGACUCUUGACUUUUAAGCCCAUUGGAACUGAAAAGACUUGUCAAACUGUGGCUUUACAUUAAAUUAGAUAUGGAAGAAGCGCUCUUGUAUGAUGACGUUGUCUGAGAGCAAGAAUUGAGUAAGGUGGGGACAAUUCUGCGUUGGAGAGGACUAGGAGUGAGGUUCCUGUCCUCGACCUAACUUAAACUCUUGCGGAAUAUUAUUUUAAGGUUCGGAGAACUCUGCAGAAGUAACAGAAACUUUCAGCUUUUUGCCAUUUCCAUUUAUAAGUCUGGACAGUAGUGAACCAGACUAUAGGAUAGUUUUCUGAAGAAUCCCAACAAAAGGUAUAUUUAGUUGAAGGGCCAUUUCAGACCACUUGUAUGGUCCAAGAAAUUUAGUCCUAAAAAUCAGGCGGCUCAACAACAGGACUGCCAGCUCAUUUUCUCUGCUCAAUAAAGGGGAAAAAAUUUGUACCGUAAAAGCAGUGUGCGAGUGAGUUUGUGUGUGUAUGACAAAGUAUUUAUAGUCCUAGAGUAGUUAGAAUGAACGUAGAGCAAGACUGACUGUGGCAUGACUUCACCUUCAUGUUGUCCUCAUGGUUCCCAUCUGCAAAACUCACACUUUCUAUCCCAUCGAAUGUUGGUGACACCGACUUUAAAAAAAAAAAAAAAAAAAAAAAAAAAAAGUUAAAUAAAUCAGUGUGUCAGCAGUGUAAUUUUUUUGUAACGCAGUGAAGUGAUUUCCUUGGACCAAAAAAAAAGGAAGCAAAGUACUUGUAUCUUUUAAAGUUGUAAUUUAGACAUGGAGCUGGGGAAACGUCUGCCUUCCUUGAAUAAAUGUCAACUCUGAAUUUAUGAGGAAAGUGAGGCAACUGUUUUGAGCCACCUUUGGAUAUAGCCUUGGUGCUAAAUUAAAAAAAAAAAAAAAAAAAAAAAGGGGGGUAGAUGGCCGUCGCCUGCAGUACCGGAGCCUACAGACUGCGUGGUGCUAACUGAUUUGCUCUCAGAUCAGGUGUCUGAACCGUAGAGACUUGGGACUCUUCUUUUCCAUGUUCCACUGUUAAAUGCUUGCUUUUUUGCUGAAAUGUCAGCAAGGAGAAAGAGGCUGAAGAGUCAGUUAGUCCAAGUUAUUUGGUGCGAGUCAGCUCUUUGGGGAGAUGUUAUCCCAGCACAGCCUCCCGGCACAGUUCGUAUGUGGUCUUUAUUCUUGUACAGGAAGAACGUGACUACUUAGUGUUGUCACAGUCUUGGAGCCAGUUCUUGUGAUACAGAUACAGCCUUGAAAAUACAGAUACAGCCUUGGAAAGGAAAGGUGAGCAAACGUAGUUUAAAAUUUGAUUCCCCCCCCCCCCUUCCCCUCGAUGGCAAGUGUAACAUCAUGCCGUGGAAGCUCUCUGAACGCCCUAGUAAAGAAGGGUGCAGCUUUUUCUGAAAUUUCCCAAUGAAAGGAGCAUGUGGGAGUCUGGCUUUGUCUUUAUCCUUGCUGCAUCAGGAGCUUAAGCAUUGAAGCUUAAAAUAUGUGACUGUAAUAAUCAAAUUUAGAUGCUUAGUAACCUAAAUAGUUAGCUGGUCUUUGAGAGGCACAGUCUUUGCAAUUCCAGUGAGUCUGUGUAUGAUUUUAGUGCAAAUUGCCCAAUGUUCAGCAUUUGGGAAACUUUGGGAGUCUUGCUUCGUCAAGCAGAGUGAGUAUCUGUGGAUAUUCGUGGUUGGAUGCUCCCAUAAUCGAGGAGACGACUGAUUAUUGGAUCUGAAAAUCUUAGGAAAA